GAUGGGGUCGAGUGCUGGAAGCUUGUAUCUAUGUCUGUAAUUCAAUGAUAUUGAAGAUAUGACCUUCCUGCACUGGACCUUCUG
rnacentral:pre_miRNA from 1 species